UAGGUGUUAUAUCUGACAACAAAAUACUUAUUGUUGUGAUUAUUUCAUGAUGACGUCAUGAUCACAGGACACCAGGAGGCAGCAUUUAACCGAUAUGGCAGAAGUAAAAGUGAACAUUUAGAAAUCACUUGAAGGGAAACACUGAGGCGUUCCCAAGUCUCCCAAGAAACAUGCGUCUUUGUCAUUCCUUAGAUUGAAGAUAAUUAAUUCCACUCCUCACAUCUUAGUCCUUCCCACUACAGAUGACAGCAGAGGAGGUGAAUACGAGGCAUGAGACAAGAUUUAACAGAUCUAUUGCGGAGGUGUGGUCCCUGGCUCAGCUGCAAGGGAGAGGUGGUGGAGUGAGCUCAAGGGGGCGGUGCUGGAGAGGCAGGUGGGGCCACAGCUGGUGGUGUUUGAACUGAUGACAAUCUCUUUUACCUUUAUAGUGAAGCGAGAGACCGGCAUGAGAAUGGAGAGCUGAGACCAGUGCCGAACAGACUGUGGGUCGUUAUAUGGUCAAAAUAAGCAGAGGAAGAACAUUUUUCCUCAGACCAAACACCGAGUGGCUUAAAAGGAAAAUAAAUGAGGGAACUCUGCUGUGUCCUCCAGUGUUUUCUAAAUGAAGAUGAUGGAAACGAUGAAACAAAGUUGAAGUAAAGCAGCAACUGGAACCAUUUCUACUGAUUUAUUAGUUCAAACUUUUACAGAAACAUUUGUUAAGAAAUUUUUAUUAUUUUUUUGUAAA